GACGAACGCUGGCGGCGUGCUUAACACAUGCAAGUCGAACGGAAAGGCCCUGCUUUUGUGGGGUGCUCGAGUGGCGAACGGGUGAGUAACACGUGAGUAACCUGCCCUUGACUUUGGGAUAACUUCAGGAAACUGGGGCUAAUACCGGAUAGGAGCUCCUGCUGCAUGGUGUGGGUUGGAAAGUUUCGGCGGUUGGGGAUGGACUCGCGGCUUAUCAGCUUGUUGGUGGGGUAGUGGCUUACCAAGGCUUUGACGGGUAGCCGGCCUGAGAGGGUGACCGGCCACAUUGGGACUGAGAUACGGCCCAGACUCCUACGGGAGGCAGCAGUGGGGAAUAUUGCACAAUGGGCGGAAGACUGAUGCAGAAACGCCGCGUGAGGGAUGACGGCCUUCGGGUUGUAAACCGCUUUCGCCUGUGACGAAGAGUGAGUGACGGUAAUGGGUAAAGAAGCACCGGCUAACUAAGUG
rnacentral:rRNA from 1 species